AGCCCGACCCCCCCUGGCUGUCCCCUCCUGUCAGGGAGUUGUGCAGAGCCAGAAGGUUCCCCUGAGCCUCCUUUGCUCCAGGCUGAGCCCCUUUCCCAGCUCCCUCAGCUGCUCCUGGGGCUCCAGCCCCUUCCCCAGCUCCGUUCCCUGCCCUGGACACGCUCCAGCCCCUCAAUGUCUGUCUUGAAAUGAGGAACAACUGAAAAUGUCUGGACAUGUUUAUUUUGCACUUCCAUCUAUCCAAAACAGAAUGGAUGGUUUCUUUCUCCCAAGGCCAGGCUGGGCACAGAAAUCAAACUGAGUGGGAAAGGUCUGUGCAAGACAGUCACAGGAACAGGCUUAAAAACACCCAAAAAAAUCACUGGAAAUUUCUGGAGCAUUUCCCAUCCCAGACAACCUGACCUUCAGCUGGUUGAACUCCCUCCCCCAGUUUUUAAGGCUGUCAGUGCAAACACAAGGUGGCUGUUCCUGGAAACACCAGGGGAAAAGUGGCAGGACAAGCACUUAUCAGGAAUAUAUGGAACUGACACAGAAGUCAUGGAGCAACCGAGCAGUGAGACCAUGGGAAAGGUUUUUGCUGGCAACAACAGCCGUUGUGUUUUGACGAGUUAAUAAACAUCUCCCCCAGGAGCGAGGGAGCUCCAGCAUGCUCUGCUUCACCGUGUUUUACUGUCUGACUAACAGAGUUUGCCGAGCAAGAGGUGUUUUUCUAAUCUGAGAACUCGGUGGCUCACGUUUCCCACCUCUCCCAGGAGCUGCUGCGCUUCCCUGCUGAUACCGUGAUGCUUCUGUUAUCUCCUGGAGGGCAACCCAGCCCUUUCUGCCACCCCCAAUCCCAAGUUGUCCCUUGGAUCCCGUGCCUUGGAGCCGUUUAUCAGCCUUGGAAGCUGAGAUAGCAGUGCUCAUCCCGCUCCGUGACCCGCGCGCUCCCGCGGGAUCCCUGCGCUGACGGGAUCCCCUUCAGCGCUGGAAGUGCCACCAAAACCACCAGCCACCGCUGUGGUGAGCUGCUGCUGAAUGAAUGUGUGCUGCCACACCUCGUCUUGCUCCUCCCAAGCACCUCCAUCAUUGCUCCACCAGCGCAGCCCCGCGACUAGAGGAUUUUGCUGGCCUUGCAGAUCAAAAUCCAAGACUUCAUCAUUUUCCAACCAGCACGUGAGGAAGGCCUUGGAAGCCUGAAGAGCAGGCACAGAUGGACUCUGCCCCAGAACCUGCUGUUACUGGGAUGCCCCUCAGGGCUGCAUCCACCUGGAGGUGGCUGCUGCCUUCGUGCCUUUUGGCAAGAAGAAACGAGUCCUUGGAAGUGGCACGAGGCGGCCCCGGGAAGGCGGCGCAAUUUUGCCGCGGAGCCAAAUUGCCGGUUCCGACUUGUAGAACAUUAUUGCUCCUGAAUUAUGGAUGAUUAUUGCACCUCCUGGAUGAUAAAUUAUUGAGCUGACACGCUGGAUGGAGAGUGAGGAGCAGGGGCCGUGCUUACGGCAGGCGGGUCUGGAAUGUGGCGUCUUCCCAGGGAGUGGGGGAUGAUUUUUCCCCCUUUCUUUCCUGAGCAAGAGUGUCUCAGCCUGAAGGUGUUGGAACAGCAGAGAAACCCUGCUCACCCUGUCUCACCCAG
rnacentral:lncRNA from 1 species